rnacentral:rRNA from 1 species
AGAGUUUGAUCAUGGCUCAGAACGAACGCUGGCGGCAGGCUUCAUACAUGCAAGUCGAGCGGAAAGGCCCCUUUCGGGGGUACUCGAGCGGCGAACGGGUGAGUAACAGGUGGGUAAUCUGCCUUUCGGAGGGGGAUAACGGCUGGAAACGGCCGCUAAUACCCCGUACGGUUGCGAAGCUCUCGGGCUUUGCGAAGAAAGGGGCCUUUAAAGCCCCGCCGAAAGAUGAGCCCGCCCCCCAUUAGCUAGUUGGCGGGGUAAUGGCCCACCAAGGCUGUGAUGGGUAGCCGAGCUGAGAGGUUGAUCGGCCACACUGGAACUGAGACACGGUCCAGACACCUACGGGUGGCAGCAGUAGGGAAUAUUGCGCAAUGGGCGAAAGCCUGACGCAGCCAUGCCGCGUGGAUGAUGAAGGCCUUCGGGUCGUAAAGUCCUUUUCUGAGGGAAGAACUGCCGGGGGAGGAAAUGCCCUCGGCUUGACGGUACCUCAGGAAUAAGCAACGGCUAACUCCGUGCCAGCAGCCGCGGUAAUACGGAGGUUGCAAGCGUUGUUCGGAAUGACUGGGCGUAAAGGGAGCGCAGGCGGCCAAGUCAGUCUGAAGUGAAAGCCCGGGGCUUAACCCCGGAAUAGCUUUGGAUACUGCCUGGCUUGAGUGUGCGAUAGGAAAGCGGAAUUCCAGGUGUAGCGGUGAAAUGCGUAGAUAUCUGGAGGAACACCGGUGGCGAAAGCGGCUUUCUGGCGCAUAACUGACGCUGAGGCUCGAAAGCGUGGGGAGCGAACGGGAUUAGAUACCCCGGUAGUCCACGCCGUAAACGUUGUGCACUAGGUGUGGGAGGUAUCGACCCCUUCCGUGCCGAAGCUAACGCAUUAAGUGCACCGCCUGGGGAGUACGGUCGCAAGACUGAAACUCAAAGGAAUUGACGG